GUGUACAGUCAUAUCACCCUGAGCAUGUCCAAUCUUAUGUGAUCUCAGAAGUUAAGUAGGGUCAGGCCUUUUUAAUACUUGGAUGAAAGACAUAAAACAGAUUUAGGGAUUUGGAACCU
ensembl:rRNA 5S_rRNA 5S ribosomal RNA